AGCAGCCGCGGUAAUUCCAGCUCCAAUAGCGUAUAUUAAAGUUGUUGCAGUUAAAAAGCUCGUAGUUGAAUUUCGGGAUCAAUAUGUCGGUCGUGCCUUGGUACGUACUGGUAUCAUUGGUCUCUCCUUUCUGACGAACCAUGAUGUCAUUAAUUUGGUGUUAUGGGAAGUUAGGACUGUUACUUUGAAAAAAUUAGAGUGUUUAAAGCAGGCUUUAGCUUGAAUACAUUAGCAUGGAAUAAUGAAAUAGGACGUUCGAACCUAUUUUGUUGGUUUCUAGGAUCAACGUAAUGAUUAAUAGGGAUAGUUGGGGGCAUUAGUAUUCAAUUGUCAGAGGUGAAAUUCUUGGAUUUAUUGAAGACUAACUACUGCGAAAGCAUUUGCCAAGGAUGUUUUCAUUAAUCAAGAACGAAAGUUAGGGGAUCGAAGACGAUCAGAUACCGUUGUAGUCUUAACCAUAAACUAUGCCGACUAGGGAUCGGAUGAUGUUAAUUUUUAAUGACUCAUUCGGCGCCUUACG
rnacentral:rRNA from 1 species